rnacentral:tmRNA from 1 species
GGGGCUGACAGGAUUUCUACAUGUUUUUUGACCUAGGUAUUAUUUAAAAUAUAAUUAUGUUAAUUACAUAAUUUUAUAACUUAUAUUCUUAAUUGCAAAACAUAAUAUCGUAGCUUUUUCAAGAAAUCUAGUACAUAUAUAGUUUAUCUUGUAUUAAAAUAUGGUGCUAACUAUAGUUUUAUUUUUUCUAGCUGCUCUAAGUUUUAUUACAAUAAAUUUUGAUUUAUUGAUUUAGUCAAGUGAUUGCUAUUGAAGUACCUUUUUGUAAAAACAUUAAUAUAUACCUAAUUAAUUAAUAAACAUGGACGUGGGUUCAAGUCCCACCAGUUCCA